rnacentral:rRNA from 1 species
UACGUAGGGUGCGAGCGUUAAUCGGAAUUACUGGGCGUAAAGCGUGCGCAGGCGGCGCGUUAAGACAGGUGUGAAAGCCCCGAGCUUAACUUGGGAAUUGCGCUUGUGACUGGCGUGCUGGAGUGUGGCAGAGGGAGGUGGAAUUCCACGUGUAGCAGUGAAAUGCGUAGAGAUGUGGAGGAACACCGAUGGCGAAGGCAGCCUCCUGGGCCAGCACUGACGCUCAGUGCACGAAAGCGUGGGGAGCAAACAGGAUUGAGAAACCCGA